UACGAAGGGGGCUAGCGUUGUUCGGAAUUACUGGGCGUAAAGCGCACGUAGGCGGACAUUUAAGUCAGGGGUGAAAUCCCAGAGCUCAACUCUGGAACUGCCUUUUGAUACUGGGUGUCUUGAGUAUGGAAGAGGUGAGUGGAAUUCCGAGUGUAGAGGUGAAAUUCGUAGAUAUUCGGAGGAACACCAGUGGCGAAGGCGGCUCACUGGUCCAUUACUGACGCUGAGGUGCGAAAGCGUGGGGAGCAAACAGG
rnacentral:rRNA from 1 species